UACGUAGGCAGCAAGCGUUGUUCGGAAUUACUGGGCGUAAAGAGUGUGUAGGCGGUGUUCUAAGUUUGUCGUGAAAUCUCCCGGCUUAACUGGGAGGGUGCGGCGAAAACUGGAAUGCUAGAGGAUGGGAGAGGUAAGCGGAAUUCCUGGUGUAGCGGUGAAAUGCGUAGAUAUCAGGAGGAACACCUGCGGUGUAGACAGCUUACUGGACCAUUUCUGACGCUGAGACACGAAAGCGUGGGUAGCAAACAGG
rnacentral:rRNA from 1 species